rnacentral:rRNA from 1 species
GUCGAGAAUCUUUCACAAUGGGGGCAACCCUGAUGGAGCGACGCCGCGUGGAGGAUAAGGUCUUCGGAUUGUAAACUCCUGUCAUGCGUGAACAAGGUUGCUUGGUUAAUACCUGGGCAAAUUGAUGGUAACGCAAGAGGAAGAGACGGCUAACUCUGUGCCAGCAGCCGCGGUAAUACAGAGGUCUCAAGCGUUGUUCGGAAUCACUGGGCGUAAAGGGUGCGUAGGUGGCGUGGUAAGUCAGAUGUGAAAGCCCGGGGCUCAACCUCGGAACUGCAUCCGAUACUGCCAUGCUAGAGUACUGGGAAGGUGACUAGAAUUCUCGGUGUAGCAGUGAAAUGCGUAGAUAUCGAGAGGAAUACCAAAGGCGUAGGCAGGUCACUGGACAGUUACUGACACUGAGGCACGAAGGCCAGGGGAGCGAACGGGAUUAGAAACCCUUGUAGUCC